GUUCCCUCCUCCUCUUUCCUCCCUUCAUCUCUAGUGAUGUCCAAUAUUAUUGGGCCUAAAGCGUCCGUAGCUGGCCGCGCAAGCCCGUCGGGAAAUCCACCUGCCCAACAGGUGGGCGUCCGGCGGAAACUGUGUGGCUUGGAACCGGAAGGCUCAGAGGGUACGUCCGGGGUAGGAGUGAAAUCCCGUAAUCCCGGACGGACCACCGAUGGCGAAAGCACUCUGAGAAGACGGCUUCGACAGUGAGGGACGAAAGCUAGGGUCUCAAACCGGAUUAGAAACCCCGGUAGUCC
rnacentral:rRNA from 1 species